CAGUCGCCGCGGGAAUACGAAGGGUGCAAGCGUUAAUCGGAAUUACUGGGCGUAAAGCGUGCGUAGGCGGUUUGUUAAGUCUGCUGUGAAAUCCCCGGGCUCAACCUGGGAAUGGCAGUGGAUACUGGCAAGCUAGAGUGUGUCAGAGGAUGGUGGAAUUCCCGGUGUAGCGGUGAAAUGCGUAGAGAUCGGGAGGAACAUCAGUGGCGAAGGCGGCCAUCUGGGACAACACUGACGCUGAGGCACGAAAGCGUGGGGAGCAAACAGGAUUAGAUACCCCGGUAGUCCCUGUCUCUUAUAA
rnacentral:rRNA from 1 species